rnacentral:rRNA from 1 species
CACUCCUGCGGGAGGCAGCAGUGGGGAAUUUUGGACAAUGGGCGAAAGCCUGAUCCAGCAAUGCCGCGUGAGUGAAGAAGGCCUUCGGGUUGUAAAGCUCUUUUGUCAGGGAAGAAACGGUGAAAGCUAAUAUCUUUUGCUAAUGACGGUACCUGAAGAAUAAGCACCGGCUAACUACGUGCCAGCAGCCGCGGUAAUACGUAGGGUGCAAGCGUUAAUCGGAAUUACUGGGCGUAAAGCGUGCGCAGGCGGUUUUGUAAGUCUGAUGUGAAAUCCCCGGGCUCAACCUGGGAAUUGCAUUGGAGACUGCAAGGCUAGAAUCUGGCAGAGGGGGGUAGAAUUCCACGUGUAGCAGUGAAAUGCGUAGAUAUGUGGAGGAACACCGAUGGCGAAGGCAGCCCCCUGGGUCAAGAUUGACGCUCAUGCACGAAAGCGUGGGGAGCAAACAGGAUUAGAUACCCCAGUAGUCCC